rnacentral:rRNA from 1 species
GACGAACGCUGGCGGCGUGCUUAACACAUGCAAGUCGAACGGAAAGGCCCUGCUUUUGUCGCGUGCUCGAGUGGCGAACGGGUGAGUAACACGUGCGUAACCUGCCCUUGACUUUGGCCUCAUUUCCGGAAACUGGGGCUAAUACCGGCUCGGCGCUCCUGCUGCAUGGUGGGGGUUGGAAAGUUUCGGCGGUUGGGGAUGGACUCGCGGCUUAUCAGCUUGUUGGUGGGGUAGUGGCUUACCAAGGCUUUGACGGGUAGCCGGCCUGAGAGGGUGACCGGCCACAUUGGGACUGAGAUACGGCCCAGACUCCUACGGGAGGCAGCAGUGGGGAAUAUUGCACAAUGGGCGGAAGCCUGAUGCAGCAACGCCGCGUGCGGGAUGACGGCCUUCGGGUUGUAAACCGCUUUCGCCUGUGACGAAGCGUGAGUGACGGUAAUGGGUAAAGAAGCACCGGCUAACUACGUG